UGUAAAGUUCAAGUCCCGAUUUGUGAGGGCGAAACCGCGAAUGGCUCAUUAAAUCAGUCAUAAUCUACUUGAUUGUUUGAAGGUUAUAUGGAUAACUGUGGUAAUUCUAGAGCUAAUACAUGCAAAAAGGGGGCGACUCCUUUCGGGGAGAAGCUCUGCGUUUAUUAGACUAAGACCAAUGAGUGUAAAAACUCUAUUUUAAUGGUGACUCUGAGUAAAUAAUGGGUGAAAGCCCAUGAUGUUGACCUAUCUCUUUCGAGGAUAGGCAAUUCAAUCGAGUGUCUGCUCUAUCAACUGUGGAUGGUAGGAUAAACGCCUACCAUGGUGAUGACGGGUAACGGGGAGUUAGGGCUCGACUCCGGAGAACAAGCCUGAGAAACGGCUAGUAGGACUAAGGUCUGCAGCAGGCGCGAAACUUACACAAUGCUAGAUUAACAUUAGCGAUGUAGUGAAGAAAAAUAACGAUGUACUUGUAUUUAAACAUACUGGUACAAUUGGAAUGAGACGACUCUAAACCAGUUAGUCGAGUAACAAAUGGAGGGCAAGUCUGGUGCCAGCAGCCGCGGUAAUUCCAGCUCCAUUAGCAUACAUUAAAGUUGUUGCGGUUAAAAAGCUCGUAGUUGAAUUUUAGGUGGAGGCCCUGGUUGGGUAUCCGUUACGGUUUUCCUUCGGGAUUACUAGGUUACUCAAUACCAGGACACUUCACUGUUUCGUCACUUAAUCGAGUGCGGAGCGGGGUUAGUAGCGUCUCUUCACGGAGACCUGUUAACCACCUUUACCUUGAGAAAAUUAGAGUGCUCACAGCAGGCAGUUGGUGUGUAAAAGCGCCUUUAUGCUUGAAUAAUGUUGCAUGGAAUAAUAGAAUACGGCCUCGGUUCUAUUCUGUUGGUCUUAUAGAACAACAAACAAGUUGUGAACCAUGGGUAGGAGGGGUGUUUAGUGUUAUGUUGUCUUUGGAUAAAACCUUAGUACCAUGCCAUCCUCUCUGAUCUCCCACACCCACAACUGAGGCAAUGGUUAAAAGAAAUAGUCGCGGCGGCAUCAGUACUGCAUCGUGAGAGGUGAAAUUCUUAGACCGAUGCAAGACUAACUGAAGCGAAAGCGUUUGCCGAGGAUAUUUUCAUUAAUCAAGAACGAAAGUUAGAGGUUCGAAGGCGAUCAGAUACCGCCCUAGUUCUAACCAUAAACGUUGCCAACUAGCAAUUGGGUUGCGAUUCCUUUAGUGAUUUAGGUUAGUGCAAUAUCUAGCCAUAUCACCAUUAUGAUCCACCCAGCGGCUCUCGUAGGGAAACCAAAGUGUUUGGGUUCCGGGGGAAGUAUGAUUGCAAAGUUGAAACUUAAAGGAAUUGACGGAAGGGCACCACCAGGAGUGGAGCCUGCGGCUUAAUUUGACUCAACACGGGGAAACUUACUAGAUUAGAACUCUGGAAUGAUUGACAGAUUGAUAGCUCUUUCUUGAUUCAGAGGAUGGUGGUGCAUGGCCGUUCUUGAUUCGUAUUCCGAAACGUCUGCUUAAUUGCGAUAACGAGUGAGACCUCCCCCAACUAACUAGUGGAGUGGUGCGAAGAGGCGUCAAAGUGGUCUUUAGUUGUGAUGAAGUUUUCGGAUGGAUUCCAACUAAAAAACCAUGCUUCCUACUCGCCACCUGACUUCUUAGAGGGAUAAACGGUGUUUUAGCCGUAAGAAACGAGGCAAUAACAGGUCUGUGAUGCCCUUAGAUACUCUAGGCCGCACGCGUGCUACAAUGGCGUGUGCAGAGAGCUUGUUCGAGGUUCGUCCGAUGGCAAGCUGGUUGAUUUGGUUGGAGUUGGUGUAAAAGCUAGCUCUUUAAUCGGUCUUCAGAGCGGCCCCGGUUAGCGAGCCGAGAGAAACCGUAGCCGAAAGGUUACGGCAAUCAAAAAUACACGCCGUGAUUUGGGAUUGGGGAUUGCAAUUGUUGCCCAUGAACGAGGAAUUCCCAGUAAGCGCAAUUCAUCAUAUUGCGUUGAUUACGUCCCUGCCCUUUGUACACACCGCCCGUCGCUACUACCGAUUGGAAGUUUUAGUGAGGCAUUUGGACUUGCUAGACCAUAGAGGGGCAACUCUCUUAGUCAGGCGGGGAAGUCUGUCGAACUCAAAUUUCUAGAGGAAGUAAAAGUCGUAACAAGGUUUCCGU
rnacentral:rRNA from 1 species